rnacentral:lncRNA from 1 species
UGAACCCUAAGGCAUGUGUUUGUUUGAAAUUUGGCGUGCCCCUCGACAAGCAAUGAGGCUAAUGCAUAGGUUUCAACUUCUAAGCUUCUAAUUCUUUUGUGACUGCCGAGGAUAUCAAGAGUUAUUUAGGUUGCGUUGAUGAUACAAACCCUUUUUUUUCUCCCAGAGAAGUCAUCUUUUCCCAGGAAUGAUUCAUCAACUUGGUUUCUUUUGGGAUGUUACUAUGUGCAUACAAUGGUGGACCUGCGUAUUGAAGAUUGGUGGAACCACCUUGUCCAAGGUUUGCUCGAAAAUUUCACUGUGUAUCAAUAGGUAAAAUUUUUAUUCAUAUGGUGAAUUUCCUCGACUUUUUCGUCGGUGUAUUCUUUAUAUUUUGACUCCCCUUAGGGAAGUUCUCACUCCAUCUCUGGUUAUAUUGGUUGACGAAUACUAAAAUGAUUUAAUUUUUUCAUUCAGCACUCAUAUCAUUGAAUAGGACUGACAGAAGGGGUACUUAAACACCUUCUCAGGGAUUUUAAUCCUCUUAGAAAUACUAUUUUCAUUUGGAACUUUUGGUUUGUUGGUGUGCAUGUGUUGAGUGAUUCCAAUCACACAUUUGUCCUUGUCUUAAAGCUACUUUCUCCGUUCCAUAUUAGUUGUCAUGUUUCGCACCUAGAGAGUCAAACUAUGUUAACUUUGACCAGUAUACAAAUUGACAUGAAAAAUGUUGCAACUUGUUGUACUUACCGUUUUGUGAAACAGUUAUAUGGCCAGUGUUGAUAAAGUUGAGAAUCAAAGAAUCAACAGUUUCUUAUUGGGAUCACUUUGUGUACCAUUCUUUGAGGCUCACAUUUAUCUAAAGCGCAUGGCUUGCCCCAUCAAACAGUUGCACUUUGUUUUAUCGCUUUAAGUGACAAAGCAAUGGCUUUAAUAACACUGAUCAUAACCCUGUCUUUUUUGCCGUUCCAUGCGGUCCUAAUUUACUAAUCAUGGUUAUAUUGGUGAUCAUUAGUUAUGCAGCACAUUGUCUAAGUUCUCGACUUCCUUAAGAUAGUUUGGUAGCAAGUAUAUGUUUAAUCCUUGAUCUGAAAUCUGUGUCUCAAAUUGCAUGCUAACAUUGUAUUUAUGUUUGUGAGAGGAUACUGUUCUUGUUAUCAUAUUUACAUGCAGUUUUGCCUUUACUCAACCUUUGAUAUGGUGCACAUGGAUGAAACAGGUUAGCUGAAUAGUGCAGUAGCGGAGACAUGAUUUUCA